GAUGAGUAGUAACCAGAUCCCAGGCUGAUGACCAAUCAAACAAUCACUGUGGACAUGCAGAGGAGAGGAAUGCCCUCCCACAUGGUGCAGAGAACAUC